rnacentral:tRNA from 1 species
GGGCUCGUAGUCCAGCCCGGCUAAGACGCUUCCUUCACAUGGAAGAGAUCCCCAGUUCAAAUGAAGCUUUUCUUUGCAAAAGAAAAGCCCCAAGCGCAAAAGAAAGCAGUUACCGCUUGCGCGAAUAUUCUUGAGAAUCUGGGCGGGCCCA